rnacentral:rRNA from 1 species
ACGAACGCUGGCGGCGUGCUUAACACAUGCCAGUCGAACGGAAAGGCCCUGCUUUUGUGGGGUGCUCGAGUGGCGAACGGGUGAGUAACACGUGAGUAACCUGCCCUUGACUUUGGGAUAACUUCAGGAAACUGGGGCUAAUACCGGAUAGGAGCUCCUGCUGCAUGGUGGGGGUUGGAAAGUUUCGGAGGUUGGGGAUGGACUCGCGGCUUAUCAGCUUGUUGGUGGGGUAGUGGCUUACCAAGGCUUUGACGGGUAGCCGGCCUGAGAGGGUGACCGGCCACAUUGGGACUGAGAUAUGGCCCAGACUCCUACGGGAGGCAGCAGUGGGGAAUAUUGCACAAUGGGCGGAAGCCUGAUGCAGCAACGCCGCGUGCGGGAUGACGGCCUUCGGGUUGUAAACCGCUUUCGCCUGUGACGAAGCGUGAGUGACGGUAAUGGGUAAAGAAGCACCGGCUAACUACGUG